AAACGUAGGUGGCGAGCGUUGUCCGGAAUUACUGGGUGUAAAGGGCGCGUAGGCGGGGGAGCAAGUCAGGUGUGAAAUACCACGGCUCAACCGUGGGGGUGCAUCUGAAACUGUUCUUCUUGAGUGCUGGAGAGGAAAGCGGAAUUCCUAGUGUAGCGGUGAAAUGCGUAGAGAUUAGGAGGAACACCAGUGGCGAAGGCGGCUUUCUGGACAGUAACUGACGCUGAGGCGCGAAAGCGUGGGGAGCAAACAGGAUUAGAUACCCUGGUAGUCCACGCCGUAAACGAUGGAUACUAGGUGUAGGAGGUAUCGACCCCUUCUGUGCCGGAGUUAACACAAUAAGUAUCCCACCUGGGGAGUACGGCCGCAAGGUUGAA
rnacentral:rRNA from 1 species